AUCCUUGCGGUAGGGGCAAUGUCGCUGCAAGUGACGCCUAGCGGAUGCGCGAUGAUUGCUAGUUGAAAACUACUCCAAUUCCCGUUCGCCGACCCGAAAGGGUCGGCGGCAAUUUCUGGGGCCCCCCGGGG
rnacentral:snRNA from 18 species